CAGUUCAAGCCUCUAGCAUUGUCGCAGUCUUACCAAUAACAUUAACACUGGCUCCAUUCUAUUCAAGUGUCCAGUGAGCCAGCAUGCACAAAACCAGGACCCAGCAGCAUUAAUUUUACUAUUAACACCUGUGCUUUUCUUGAUGUCACAUGUCCAGGUGUCUUCAAUGAAAAAAGACACAUUGAUGACCUUCUAGAGAGGACUUCCAAGCCUCUCCUUGCAGGAUCCUGUAGAUCAGGGCUGGUUCGUUAGUGAGAUUUGAUUCACCUGGUCUGACUGCUGAUUGCAAGAUAGAAGCUUGAGUUUUCCCCCCUUGCCUUUUAUCCUUUUGAUUUGGUUUUAGCUUUAUUUCUCCUUUCCUUAAGUAAAACAAACUGAUCAUAUGUGGUCUGCUCUUGUUGUGACAGCAUUAACUCAAACUCAGUUCUACAUAUGCAUCUUCAUUAUUUGGAGCUGCCUACCAAAACCGUCUACAAGUGCAUCUGGUAAACAAAUGUUCCCACAUGGUUUAAGGAUUCAAACCAACAACCUUCCAAGCACAAGCAUCCCGUCCCGUGUUUCCAAACCCUCAAACCUUGAGUGAACCUCCUAAUCAUCAGCUCCGAAUCCAGGAGAACCACCAGGCCAAACUGCUGGAACCAACGCAUCUCCCAGGAGACGUAAAACUCUCAGUGGCUUCGAGGAGCUUCCAGGUUUCUUGACGAUGCGGAUUUUAUCACAGGUUUGAUUUCUCCGCUGCAACCCGAGCCAAUUCACACAGCAGAUCAGAAACUUGAUCUCCUGGUUGAACUGGAGACGGCAGAAACUUCCAAAACUGCUCAAGCCAGAUGCCGUUGGGAAAAAAAAAGUGAUCCCUAUAUGACUACUAGAAAUGAGAAACCUAUAAGCUAAAUGUUUCGUUCUUUUCUAAUAAAAAUAGUGCGAUGAUG